AAACAGUAUGCUGAAAAAUAGUAUGAUGAUAAGCCUUUGGGUUAAAUUUGCUUCAUUGUUGUAGCAAUUUGACAGAAUCAUUUACAAUAAGGAUGCAAGGGCAGACAUAUCUAUCUGGGCACACGGAUCAACAGUUCAUAAUUGGCCAGGGGGCUAAGCUGGAGACGAUGACUGGAGAGAAGUACAAAGGCUAAAGUGAACCUGGUUGGGAACAUGCUAAACGCCUCACUGAAGGGCAUUGAGUCAGUCAUGGAACAUCAUCGUUACCAUGACGCUUCGCCCCAUCGUCUGCAAGAGGAUAAGUAAGCGCAUGUAGUGAUCUCUCAACCCUUUUUGAAUAAAUUAAGAAAAUG